AAAGAAGCAAGAAAUGAGGAUGCUAACCAUCUUUUAAAAGUACCUUUUCUCCUAUAAGCGGUCUUUAAUUAAAGGCGUCAUUUAAAGUGUAUCUAACAAUGACUUCAGCUAGAAGAGCUGUUUACCCUUACAUAACAACCAGGACAGAGCAUGUUGAACGUACAGUCAUCACACGGGCUCUAAUAGAUGGAAACCGGCACAGCGCUGAACAGUUUGUUCUGAUCAAGAGUUCUCAGUCACGGUCAGCCAAUUCUGACAAUUACACUUAAUUUUAACUCAAUAAGAUUUGCUAUAUAUAACCCCAUACGUGGCUCUAAGAGGGCCCACGCUGCACCCAGCGGUGUUCCCACAGCACAGCUCAGUGUGCUCAGUGAGCUCUGCUGGGCUGGCAGCUCCGCACCCCCUGCUCUGCUCAAUGGCAGCAGGGCUCCUGGGGGAGCUGGUGCCACGCUGCUGUGCAGGUUCCUUCUGAUGCUUGGUGCAGGGGAAGUAAAUCCCUGAAAUCCUCUUCCCUUUUGUUUCUAAGAAGUCCCUUUUCUGUUGGUGAGAUUUGAAGUGCUCAGUCCUGAGCAGCGGCCGCCCCGAACCAAAUCACUCCCUGUUCCUUGAGGGACUUCUGUGCUUACGUAAGCUUACAAACUCUUGUUUGCUGUUCUGCUACUCCUUCAAGUAUUGAAUGGUGAGAAGUUGAACAACUUAGACUUGGCAUUACCAGCAGCACUGCACCAGGGCCUGCCCUCAUAGCUCCUGUGGGCUGUGACAACCAGCACAGCCCCAUUCUGCAAGCACUUGUGUCAGCUGUUGCACACAGUGAUUGUCUUUGUGCUGGCAUUUGCCUACUGCAUCCUGAUUGCAAAGCAGCCCUUCUAUAGUGAACACCGAUAAUAACAUUCCUCUCCUAAUCUGUGCACUGUUCUACUGCAGCCAAAUUUACUUUUAACCUUUAUGUCACCCAGCCAGAAUGUUAUGUAUGGUGAGAAGUGAGAAAGGAUGCUGGGUGCAGGACAGGGACCUCGUGACUUGCCUGGAUUCAGAGCCGAGCAAUGAGAUCAACAGUACAACCACUGACCUCCCAUUGUUCCCCUUGGCCAGAUGAAGGGCCCUGGCAGCUGUGGGCUCAAGAACCUCUCAUGAAGCACUUCUACAUUGCCUUCGGUAAUCGAUCACUUCUACACGUGGGUCACACUUCUUGUCCAAUGGAAGCACCAGCCAAGGCCCUUCCCUACUUGUAGGGCAGUGAUGCACCUGUGCUACCUCUCCAUCAAUUGCAUCCUUCACUCCAGCAUGGACACAGGUGGCUUUGAUUGGUGUCAGCUGGAGGCAAGGGCUGCUGAUGAGAGCAUGGCCAUGUGGAGGAGGCAAGGGGAAGGGCUUUUCCCUUCUCCACUUUUUGCAUUGGCAUUAAUCGACCCUUACUGUUAAUGUGCUCUGUUGAUGCAUUUAGUGACGCAUCAGUAUUGCUGAAUCGGUGUUUGGUGUGGGUUUUUUCUCCCCUAGCUUUGGGAUUUGCCUCCUAGUCAGCAGUAGACUGUUUUGUCCUGCUCUGCUAUACCUGCACAUGACUUAAACCUUUUCCCUUGUUUUCACAGCUUCUGGCCCUGGCUGGGUGAAUCCUCACAGCAGUCGCUUGCAGCUGAGUACAGUGCAGGACAUGGAGGUGAUCUCCUGCCCGCUGAGCCCGCUGCCCACUCAGAGAUGAGGCCUGGUGAGAUUCAGGCUUCCCUCACUUCAUGAAUUCCUCUGUGCCCCUCAGGCUGUGCCCUGGAGGACAGAAUGGAGGACUCCUGGCCUCCCUGAUCCCACCGCAGCAGAUACAAGCAGAGAAGCUGUUCUGACGACGUGGGAAGAUGCCGUUUCUGAGGCAGCCAGGGCUCUCAGCAGCCUGCAUUAUUUCUGGCGGGACUGUCAGUUCUCCAAGCACCACUACCUCAUUUUUAACGCAGAUCUGUUGGAAGACAUUUGGUCCAUCCUGCUUUUGUCAGCCACGGGCAGCAAAGUAGCCAUGGAGAGGCUGUGUGGAGAGACCACCACUCCAUGCCCUGGAGCCGAUGCCAGCAGCAGCCUGCUGUGUGCGCCGGGGGACAGAGAGCCCCAGCAGGCAGCCCAGCGCCCCGGGGAGAAGCCCGACCCCCACACAGGCAGCACGUGGGGGCACCGCGCUCCCACGGAGGCCACCUGUCCGGCUGCACACGCACACGUUUACCUUUGCUGGGCCGUACUUGAGGCCAGCCGGGCAGCGCACAGCUGGUGAGGGCAGGCUGCAUUGAACGCCCGAAGCUGCAAGUGGAAAAGUCGUCGCCCCGGCAGUAGCGAGGUGAGUUUGUGCCAGCACAGAGCCUGGGGGCAGGCGGCGAUGGCUGAGUGCUGCUGGAGCAGGGCUCGUAAAGGUGGGCAGCAGCACUUCUGAGGCAGACGGGCGUCUGCGGAGAGCAGCCAGCCGAAAACGGGAGCCAGCCCGCCCGCUUUUCUCGUAGGAGCGGCGACACGCGUGUUUCCGUGAGAGUAACAGCACGAAGCACCGCCGCCUGUCCGAACUGCGCCUCCCCGGC
ensembl:lncRNA